GUAUUCGGUGGAGCACGAAGCAUAAAGACAAGAGAACCGGAGGAUAUGACCUUCCAAACCUCCCCCUCCCCUCUCACCCGGUCGGGUGAAUCACCUCAACACGGGUGGCGAGUAAGGCUAUUCGCCGGGCAUUCUGGCUCCCGACAACCCCAUAACGCAUUCGGCCCCCGGCCGGGACGGCAAUCCCGGGCGAGGGCCUGACCACAGCGGAAGCGAACCCCUUCCCC
rnacentral:ncRNA from 1 species